GCUAAUCUCGCACUGUGGUGGAUUCGAGCGUUAUCCGGAUUUAUUGGGUUUAAAGGGUGCGUAGGCGGACGCUUAAGUCAGCGGUAAAAUUGCGGGGCUCAACCUCGUCGAGCCGUUGAAACUGGGUGCCUUGAGUGGGCGAGAAGUACGCGGAAUGCGUGGUGUAGCGGUGAAAUGCAUAGAUAUCACGCAGAACUCCGAUUGCGAAGGCAGCGUACCGGCGCCCAACUGACGCUGAAGCACGAAGGCGUGGGUAUCGAACAGGAUUAGAUACCCUGGUAGUCCACGCAGUAAACGAUGAAUGCUAGUUGUCCGGGGCGAUUGAGUUCUGGGUGACACAGCGAAAGCGUUAAGCAUUCCACCUGGGGAGUACGCCGGCAACGGUGAAACUCAAAGGAAUUGACGGGGGCCCGCACAAGCGGAGGAACAUGUGGUUUAAUUCGAUGAUACGCGAGGAACCUUACCCGGGCUCAAACGCAGGAGGGAUGUUUUUGAAAGGAGGCAGCCAGCAAUGGUCUCCUGCGAGGUGCUGCAUGGUUGUCGUCAGCUCGUGCCGUGAGGUGUCGGCUUAAGUGCCAUAACGAGCGCAACCCCUACCUACAGUUGCCAUCGCGUGAUGGCGGGCACUCUGUGGGGACUGCCUGCGCAAGCAGUGAGGAAGGCGGGGAUGACGUCAAAUCAGCACGGCCCUUACGUCGGGGCGACACACGUGUUACAAUGGCAGGUACAGCGGGAAGCCACCCGGCGACGGUGCGCGCACCCCGAAAACCUGUCUCAAGUUCGGAUUGGAGUCUGCAACCCGAUUCCCUGGA
rnacentral:rRNA from 1 species